UACGAAGGGGGCUAGCGUUGUUCGGAAUUACUGGGCGUAAAGCGCACGUAGGCGGACAUUUAAGUCAGGGUGAAAUCCCAGAGCUCAACUCUGGAACUGCCUUUGAUACUGGGUGUCUUGAGUAUGGAAGAGGUGAGUGGAAUUCCGAGUGUAGAGGUGAAAUUCGUAGAUAUUCGGAGGAACACCAGUGGCGAAGGCGGCUCACUGGUCCAUUACUGACGCUGAGGUGCGAAAGCGUGGGAGCAAACAGGG
rnacentral:rRNA from 1 species